rnacentral:rRNA from 1 species
GUUUGAUCCUGGCGUCAGGAUGAACGCUGGCGGCGUGCUUAACACAUGCAAGUCGAGCGAAGCGCCGGACCUGAUUCUUCGGAUGAAGGGAAGGAUGACUGAGCGGCGGACGGGUGAGUAACGCGUGGGGAACCUGCCCCGUACCGGGGGAUAACAGUUAGAAAUGACUGCUAAUACCGCAUAAGCGCACAGAGAGGCCUCUCUCAGUGUGAAAAACUCCGGUGGUACGGGAUGGCCCCGCGUCGGAUUAGCCAGUUGGCGGGGUAACGGCCCACCAAAGCGACGAUCCGUAGCCGGCCUGAGAGGGCGACCGGCCACAUUGGGACUGAGACACGGCCCAAACUCCUACGGGAGGCAGCAGUGGGGAAUAUUGCACAAUGGGGGAAACCCUGAUUGCAGCGACGCCGCGUGAGUGAAGAAGUAUUUCGGUAUGUAAAGCUCUAUCAGCAGGGAAGAAGACGACGGUACCUGACUAAGAAGCCCCGGCUAACUACGUGCCAGCAGCCGC